rnacentral:rRNA from 1 species
AACGAACGCUGGCGGCAGGCCUAACACAUGCAAGUCGAGCGGACCUUUCGGGGUCAGCGGCGGACGGGUGAGUAACGCGUGGGAAUAUGCCCUUCUCUACGGAAUAGUCCUGGGAAACUGGGGGUAAUACCGUAUACGCCCUUUGGGGGAAAGAUUUAUCGGGGAAGGAUUAGCCCGCGUUGGAUUAGGUAGUUGGUGGGGUAAUGGCCUACCAAGCCGACGAUCCAUAGCUGGUUUGAGAGGAUGAUCAGCCACACUGGCACUGAGACACGGCCCAGACUCCUACGGGAGGCAGCAGUGGGGAAUCUUAGACAAUGGGGGCAACCCUGAUCUAGCCAUGCCGCGUGAGUGAUGAAGGCCUUAGGGUUGUAAAGCUCUUUCAGCUGGGAAGAUAAUGACGGUACCAGCAGAAGAAGCCCCGGCUAACUCCGUG